rnacentral:rRNA from 1 species
UACGUAGGGUGCAAGCGUUGUCCGGAAUUACUGGGCGUAAAGAGCUCGUAGGUGGUUUGUCGCGUCGUCUGUGAAAGCCCGGGGCUUAACUCCGGGUCUGCAGGCGAUACGGGCAUAACUAGAGUGCUGUAGGGGAGACUGGAAUUCCUGGUGUAGCGGUGAAAUGCGCAGAUAUCAGGAGGAACACCGAUGGACAGAAGGCCAGGUCUCUGGGACAGUAAUCG